ACACAUAUAAAAGCAUCAUUUAAAUCCUUAUAUUAUAUUUUCUUAAAUACACUUAAGUCCCUAAACUACAAGGGUACACUUAGGCUCCACUAAUAAUGCAUUACAUUCGAAAAUAAUAGUUGAUACUGCAAAUUACAUACAUAACUAGCAAAAACACUCAUCCAUUGCAGUAUUGCAGUAUCAACACUAGAACCAGCUUAUAUUACAUAGUUCACUACACAGCCUAUUCCGAAAACCUACAACUAAGGAAACUUGGAUAACCAUCCCCCGAAUGACCUUUGAUCCCAGCAUUAGGCAAAAAUAAUAAUUUCCCACAUCAUAGGCCAGUUUCUUCUCCAACUUCAUUUUCACCUUUUGCCCCAGAUUUGAAGAAAAAGAGCCACAGGAGAAUGACACCCCAAUGAAGCAUCAGGUACAUCUUUAACCUCCUCGCAUUUCCUUGCUAUACCUUGGCCAUCUCCUUCCACAUCUCGACCUCAGCUGCAAUCUUGUUCUUGGACCGUAAUAGUCUUGGUAUUAUUUCCUUAGAUCUUUGACACAUUUCUGGAUCAACCUAGUCCCAAUAUUUAUAGCCUCCCAAUUCCUAUUUACAUACCACAAUAUCAUCGAACAAAUCACAAAAACACCUAAAUACCAACAUUAAGCCUAAUUAUAAAAACUUCUUGUUCAUUACCUUAUACUGAGGACAUCGAACAAAUCUUCUUCCUGGGUUUGUGUGUGUCCAUGAUGUCAUCAGUAGUGUUUGUUUUCCGCAAUUACAAGUUUCCUUUACCAUCCCUCCUAUUUUGCUGUAGCCUGCUUCUUUUUCUUCUGUCUUCGUUCUUCCCCAACCCGUUUGAGGAGUCCCACUUUGUUCUCAUUUUGAUU
rnacentral:lncRNA from 1 species